UACAGAGGUCCCAAGCGUUGUUCGGAUUCACUGGGCGUAAAGGGUGCGUAGGUGGUGAGGUAAGUCGGAUGUGAAAGCUCGGAGCUCAACUCCGAAAUGGCAUUGGAAACUACCUUGCUCGAGGGUUGGAGGGGGGACUGGAAUACUUGGUGUAGCAGUGAAAUGCGUAGAUAUCAAGUGGAACACCAGUGGCGAAGGCGGCUCACUGGCCCGAUACUGACGCUGAGGCACGAAAGCGUGGGGAGCAAACAGG
rnacentral:rRNA from 1 species